CCACCUGUACAUGUAGUAGACCUAGAUAUAAAUGUCAUAGUUUAGUAGUUGAAGGACCAGGACUGACUACUUUAUUCUUUUAUUCUGGGAACCCCUGUAGGUGCAGAUCAAACCCUAAUGCUGCAACGUCUUGGAGUUUGGCGAUGUUGUGCGUAGCAUGGACAACAAAAUGCUAUGCUGCAACAUUUCAGUGCCAAUGUGUCUGUUGGAGAGUUAUCCCUGCCAGGGGAUCUGUUACUCCCCCCUAGACACCCAGGAAGAUUUGGCAUUGCUUGACAACAGUUUGAGGCAGGAUAAAGAGCUCCAGCAAUGAUUUCUUCGGUUUUUGGCAAUCAAAUGUGGGAGGGACCUAAAGACAACCGUGUGGCGAAUGCUUCAGAGUAUCUUCUCUAAUCACCUUUCCAUCAAUACAACCUGGACUGGUGUAGGGGAUAAAGCAUGUUUUAGAGACAUGUUCCUGAAGACCAUUGUUCAAAGAGCCAUCCGGAAGAACCCGGCAACCCAGGAUGCCACUGAUGAGGCGAUCCAGGUUAACGUUACGCGUUACCUGAAAGGAGCAUCUGAACAUGAAGGUGGAAAAAGGCGCCGCACAGCUGAGAGGGACCCACAGCCGACCCCUUAAACCUAGGCUGACUACUGACACCCCAGCAUCACUGACAAC